UAAGGAAUAUUGCGCAAUGGGGGAAACCCUGACGCAGCAACGCCGCGUGGAGGAUGACACUUUUCGGAGCGUAAACUCCUUUUAUCAGGAAAGAAUAAUGACGGUACCUGAUGAAUAAGCACCGGCUAACUCCGUGCCAGCAGCCGCGGUAAUACGGGGGGUGCAAGCGUUACUCGGAAUCACUGGGCGUAAAGGACGCGUAGGAGGAUUAUCAAGUCUUUUGUGAAAUCUAGUGGCUUAACCACUAAACUGCUUCGGAAACUGCUAGUCUAGAGUAGGGGAGAGGUAGAUGGAAUUCUUGGUGUAGGGGUAAAAUCAGUAGAGAUCAAGAAGAAUACCCAUUGCGAAAGCGAUCUGCUGGAACCUAACUGACGCUGAGGCGUGAAAGCGUGGGUAGCAAACAGG
rnacentral:rRNA from 1 species